UCCACUUAUCUGCAUCUCCUCUUGAGCCUCUGUUUGAAAUGAUCUUGUGUGACAAGACAUGUCCUUCACUACACAGAGAUAAUUAUCUCCCCACUUUGAAUUGGCUUCCCCUCUGGCCACUCAGAUUUAAGUCUCAUUAUCCUUUGGCUCACCUGGACAGCGUUGGUCGCUGCACUUUCGGACUUCUUCUCCAUUGCCAUCACACUGCUGACCAGUCACUGCUGCCCCCUGACACACUCGUGCUCGCCUCUGCCAUCCGCCAUCGCACGACUUUGAGCAGCCACUCCACGGGCCCCAAGGAUUCCACUGGCCAUUAGCUGAAACAAAAAUCACUCUCAGUUAGAAGCAGAUGCUUUCAGACGCAUACAAUUAGCAAAUGAACUCACAGAAUAUUGGAUGACAUUGUUUUUUUUUUAUAUGGAACACAUUUAAGCUUCCAAUUAGGUUGCAGUCUGUUAUUAUCACAAAACUGUACAGGAUCUCUUGAUAUCUGAAUAAUUAAGAGACUGUGUGUUUUAUAGGUAGAGAAGGUGAUCUCCGAGUGGUGAUUAUUUGCCUCGCUUAAAUAUUAAAACACAUUAAUGCUGAAGUUUUCAAAAAACAGGCUGCAUGUUUUAUGUCCUUGUAAUGAACACUGUUAAAUCGUGCAUUAGACAAAAAACAGAUGUGGCCCCUUUAGCAAUGUAGUAAAUCACAUGCCCUUGUCUGAGCAGAGAGGUACAACACCCAGUGAGCAGGAAACGCACUCUACACUCAUUUGAACCUCCACUUACCCCCUACUUCACACAUGUGAAGGUGUUUCAUGUCCUACAGCUAACCUCUGUCAGAUCUGCUUCCACAAGAAAAGGAGACAUCAGAAACUGCCGUGUUCUGCUGGGUUUAAGAAUCAACAAGAACCAGAAGAUACUGAUCCCCUGUGUGUUUCAAAGAGCUCAAUGUGCAAGCGGGGCUAAAGAAGUUCCUCCAUGUGAUUCACAAUUCUGGUCAAGCCUUUAUUGUAAUCAUUAAUUUAACAAAAUCUUGUUUGGUUUCGUUUUUGAAAAUAAGGUUGUUGCAUUUUAGCACACUGAGUAACUCAAAGAUGUACAGUAUUUCACUCUUUCUUGAAUAAAUAUUGACUUCAUCUUCAGUGGUUUAAGUUUCACACACCUUCCCACCACACUUGCUCAUCGGCGGCUUAGACUGUCGUCUCACUAAUGUUUGAUCUCUCACCUUAGAAACAAAUCAGAAUUGCUAAAAAGGUCUGGCUCAUUAAAUGAAUAAAUUGUAUAAUGCAUCGUCCCACUGUGAGGAAAACAAUGGCAUCUCCUGCCUCAUUACCAUGCGCACAAAUUAAAAAUACAUAUUCAGGAGCAUUUACCAGUGCUUUAGUCAUGCAAGAGAGCAUAAGGUUGGCUCACUGGUUAUGCAACAUUCCCACUGAUUUUCAGCAAUUGCAGAGGAAUCACUUUGCUGCACACAUGCCAGUGUAAGACAAAAAAGAACAGCAGUUUUUACACUGCUUCAGUGAAAAUUGCAUCAGGAGAUUAUAAGGGUGCUCAGGCCCUUCACAUGAUCAAGUCAAUUCAAAGCCGGAUGGAGACCAUAAGCUGACAUCUUUAAGCCUCUAAUACAUCUAUGAUGUUGACAGACAGUUUGGACAGAUAACCCCAAAAUCAUGUGAAAUGCAUCAGUAUAACUGGAUUUCACAAAUCCAAUUGGUAUAGCAUGGCCUUAAAUAUUAUUUUUUAUUCUUACAACACAGAUUUUGUUCUUGCUACAGAGGGAGAGAAAGAGAACAAAAAACCCUGGCUCAAUUAAAUCAGACCCCAUAUUUAAUCUUACAUUGAGUUUAUGUGGGUUAUUACGGCACUCAUUAUUUUAAUAAUCUUUAUUGCUACACGAGACUGGGGAGUGUUUGUGAUUUGUCACACGUCACAUCAUGGUUUUAAAUUUAGACAUAAAAUCGGACAUAGAAUUAGGAGGCUCAGGAUUUUACCUGUGCAGUCAGGAUUAUGGCACUCUCUGCUUUCUGCCCAGUGACCGCGACACUCAGAUCCCCCAUGGGCGGCUGCUGAGCACUGCCUGGUCCUCUGCUGAGUGCCAUUGGCACAGGUCACCGAGCAAUCGCUCCAAGAGCUCCACUCCUGCCACUGUCCAUCCACUGAGGCACCAAACACAACCCAACAAGCAUGUCCCAAGUGGAGGGAAAAGAGGGCAGACAGAUAUGACAGGAACCAUCUGGGACUGAGCGGUUUUCACUGAGUCUGUAACCUGCCGAGCCAAGCUAACAUUUACUGUGUGGAAAAACUCAUCAUCGCUAAUCUGCUUACCACUCACAGGCUAUUGCUGGCACGGCCAUGAGCAAAUCGCACUGUGCUGCAAGGUGAACUUCUCCGACCAAUACAAGAUGGUGGCCAAGAGCAAAUACAUUUGCCAAGAGGGUUUUCACUCAAAGCGAGGGUUUGGUUGGCCUUCUCACACAUUUGAGUGAGUUUUGAAGUUUUUUGUUAUCCAACCUUACACAUCUAAGAAAUGGUUUUUGAAACUUUCUGAUUCACCGAGUUUUCUGAAUCAAUACUCCUAAUGUCAGAUAGUGAGUUUUUUCUUAUUGAAUCAUCUGUGAUAUAUAUAUAAAGACGGAUGUUUCUUGUCAAGUUCUUUUAGAAAAUGACUUAUCUUACUUGUACCCAUGGGAUUGUGUCUGUAAUUAUUGUUUUUGUUUCGGGUCAGCUUUCCUUUUGUGCUAUAACUUUUUUAUGUUCGAACAAUAACGAUAACUAUUAUUAAAACAGACAUGCAAUCACCUCUGCUGAUACCAAAACAGCAGGUGUU